rnacentral:tRNA from 1 species
GCCCGGAUAGCUCAGUCGGUAGAGCAGGGGAUUGAAAAUCCCCGUGUCCUUGGUUCGAUUCCGAGUCCAUGCC